GCUGGAGUACAGUGGUGAUCAAAGCUCAUAGCAGCCUCAAACUCUUGGGCUCAAGCAAUCCUCCCACUUCAUCCUCCUGAGUGUCUUUGAGACUACAGGUGCACACCGCCAAGACAGGUAACAGAGAGUGCAUGAUAGAGAAGACACAAGGACCACAUCCUGAGCCCUAAGACAUUCUGAUGUUAAGCUGGGGCAAGAACAGAAACCAGGACUUCCGAAUGAGAACAGCAGUGACCAGUGAAGGAGGAAAAAAACCAGAAACACUUGUGACAGAGACCAAGUGAAGGAAGUGCUUCAGGAGGAAGGAUUGAUCAGCUUUGGAAAUGCUUCUGAUAGGAGAAUGUUGCCAGGUGGGGGUUCUUGCUAUGUUGCCCAAGUUCAUCUGGAACUCCUGGCCUCAAGCAAUUCUUCAGUCUUAGCCUCCCAAAGCUCUAGGAAUACAGGCUGGAGUGCAAUGGUGCGAUCUCGGCUCGGGACGCAAGCAAGGGAGUGGGCCCAUGAAACUGCCAGUGGGUAUCUAGAGUUAAUCUCAUGGAGAAACUUCCUACCUGAAGUUCAAGGUAAGUGGUUUAAGGCUGCUGGGGUGGUAUGUUAACCUUCUGCCAUUUCUGGACUAUUGUGUAUGUGUCUGGGGUAUAGCAGUUUUCCAAGAGUGGGGCAGGGUGGCUGGGAGCCUGGGCAAAGAAAGGAGAAUCUUGGGGUUGGUUGAGCGUCAGCUGGAGCCCACCGAAAGGCUGGAGGGAUGUGGGUGGGGCACUAACAAUGUCUGCUAUAAUAUACCACUUAGUUUUUUAGGUCAAUCAGU
rnacentral:lncRNA from 13 species